rnacentral:piRNA from 1 species
UAUAAAGUGUCUAAAGGCGGUGGGGAGCA